GUACAAACAAAGGGUCCUGCGAUUUGUGGCAACUCUAAUAUUGACUUCUGUUGUGCUUCAAGAAACAGUAACAGAAAAUUAUAAAACUUAAUAACUUUGUUACAUAAUACCCAAGUAAUCAUGUGGUUGCCAUUCAUAGCAACUAAUGUUAACAAUUUAGGUAUUACGGGAUGGUGGUGAGGAAACUGGAUUGUAAUAUCGGGGUGUUCCGGCAACCUUGCUUUGACUGGACUACUGCAAUUGUAUAACUGAUUUAACAGUUAGUGGAUAAUUGUGUCAGGCGGACAGUGGGCGGAGCAAUGGUGUAACGUUAUGAUAGUCAGGCAGCAGCAUAUCAAGUUAUUCAGUCAUUCCGUGAAAGUUGUAUGAAAUGUGAAGGACUGAAAAAAAAAGGAAGAAAAGGGAACGUGAAGCAUUGUAAACUAGCUGGUUCACAAAGAUGGAAACUCACUAAAACCGAGCUACCGAAUGACAAAAACAGUGCCGUAGUGAAAAGUGUAUCCAGUGAUCCAAUACAGACAAUAAAAGAUAUAAUUAGAUGCUUAUUGAUUACUUAAGUGGCCCUUUGCCUAUCUCAGGCAGACAAGAUAAUACACUACUUUCAAAAUUAUGCGCUGUAACGGUCUUCGCUAAUAGUUCAUUAUAUCCUGGAAAUUAAUGAUAUCCCUAACCCUCGACACAGUCAGCAAAUAAACAAAAUAUAGUGAAGAUAAACGUUAUCGUCUGUGACUAAGUUUAAGCUAGACGUACACAAGACCGGUCUCCUUCGCCUCGUCAGCGCUGUACGUGCUGGCCCCAUGACGAGGGUGAGGCACUUCCGCACGCUCACACCUUGUACCCUCCACCCCCAUGAUAACCUCCUGCAACGUGUCCUCCAGUGGUGUGCUGGGGGCGACCUCCCCCAGAAUGGGCAGGAUGCCACAUAUCCUCGAUCUCCAUCAGGCCAUCGUGAACGGAGACAUGGGUGAAGUGGUGAGGCUCGCGGAGAGUGGGCUGGACUUGGGGGCUGCUGUGAGAGGCACCACUGCUCUCUCCCUGGCUGUCUACCGUGGCGACCUCCACGCCCUCAGGGUCCUUAUAAAGGCCGGGGCACCCCUAGACAAACGCAGCAAAGAUCACCUGGAACGUCUUGAAACCCCCAUCAUAUCUUCCAUCAGACUUGGUUACCGGGAGAUCUUUGAGGAACUUAUAAGUCGAGGGGCGCGCCUUGACCUGCGCGACUUCUACAAUCAAACGCCGCUAUGGUUUGCAGUCAAGGAGCAGAGGUUAACCUUCGUCAGAGUCCUCCUGAAGUCUGGGGCACCUAUAGACUUCACUCGGGCCAGGAGAACCCCUUAACAUCGCCAUGCAAUUCUUGGGUUAUAGGGGUCGGCGAGAGAUGGCAUUGGAGCUGGUGGCAGCUGGCGUUCCCCUGACUCUGGAGGACUACAAAGGUCACUCUCCACUCUACUGGGCCAUGAAACAUAUAGACAUUGAAUUCUUUAGGCUACUUGUUGAAGCAGGGGCACAACUACGAGAGUGUGAGUGGCUUACACCACCUCACCUCCCGAGCAUGGCAGGAAGACCCAGGUAUUGUGGCAUGGUUGACCGAGGAGACCAAGACCCCGCCACCACUUAAGCGGCAGUGCCGCACUCGUCUACACUACGCUGCGGGUCAUACAUAAAACGGACGUGAGACCGCUGGUGCAGGCUCUCUGGGCCCCCAGCUGCCGCUACCGCAACUUUUACUGAGCCAUCUGCUACUGGAGGCGCCACUCCGCUGUGCCGCGCCAAACCCGCCCCAUCACAAUCAGAACCAGGUGGAAAUGGUGCCACCGCCUGCCCCGUUGCCACUGUGACGCCCGCCUGCUGGUCAGACCUCAGGACAACCGUUCGCUUGAAGUCACAGUUGCCUACUCCCACACCCCGCACAAUCCUCGAUUCACAAUAUAUGUACAAUAUCCAGAUGGACCGAUUUAUUCACAGUACAUAACCAUUAUAUCUUUAUGUAUAUGGUCACAUUGAAGCUAUUUGUUCAGUCCUAUCUACUUUCAACAUCCGCCAGCGCGCAGGCACUCGCACAAUUACGUUUGGGAUGACAAUAGUGUAUAUGCAACAUCAUUUAAGAACUGUGAGGGUAUGAUUUAAUGACACACACAGGACAGCUCAAGACAGCACAAGUCAGUGAUGGGGGAAAUUAUCUCGAAGUGGUUUGAAUGAAUAUUUUAACUUGUAUUAUUGGUGCUUUCCAGUAGAAUGCGAAAUGUCUGCCUCUACCAAAGAAUAAUAUUAAGUGGAAUAGUAAUACGAUAAUUCUGAUUUAAGCUACAAUAAGCUAUUGAGGAAAGAGUAAUCAUUGAACUGCCCAUGAUUUUUAUGUAUUUAGUUGGUCGUCGUUUGUGGUGUUCUGGUUUUGUUUCCGUGUGUGCGAUUUUGUCCAACCAUCCAAACUUUGCGUAUGGAGAUAGAAUCCUGGAUGAGUGCCCAACUAGUCACUAUUUAAGAAGUAUAACAGUAACAUUUUUCAACUGUUUCAGUAGGCCGACGAAGUCCCAAAUACAUACUGUUCUGAUUAUCGACUGACGAUUGGUAUUGAACAAACUUAGCCAACCAACUAUGGUGGAAUCAUUUGUAUUGCGAUUUGUCGGCCGAUUUAUUUAUUUUGUUUAGAUGCAUAAGUUCGCCGUGGUUACAGACUAAGGGAUCUGCUCUUAGUUAUGUAUUUUUUUUUAAGCAGGGAGUGUAUUCCGCUGUGAUUUUAAUCACGGCAGACAUAAACCAGCCAAAUAUAACUUAUAAUCAACCUAAGUUAACCAGAUGAUCGAAGGUUACGUUUGGCUUGGUUAGCGAAGUCAUGAACCAACCGGACUUACAAAUAUUUAAACUAACGUAAUUAAAACGAUCUUCAGUUAGAGUUGGUUUUGUUUAAAAUGCGACCUCAAAGUAACUAGAUACUGUAUAACUAUAUGAUUUAGGUUUUGGUUUAGUUUACCAGGUUUGGUUGGUCCAUGUUUGCAGUGAAAAUUAUUAUAGCGUCGAAGCCUAUACAGUAAUGUAGAGCUUCUGUUGUUGACGGGACCACAAACACCCUUCCAGCGGAGAUAUGAAACAGGAAUCCUGUAAAUGGUUUAUUUUUCCCUUGUUACCUCGCCAGGUGAUUAUUGUGUCGUACGCCGAGGUUCACCGAUCAUGGCUAUUACGACCAAAUCAGCCUCGUGCGUACUAAGGCCAUUUACUUUUUACACAGACUAUACAGUACAUAUCCUGCUCUAGCAAAAGUAAAUAUUGAAGGGCCAGACCUGUGUCCAUAGCCACACCCUUGUAAGUUUGCAGUUUGAACACCAAUGUGUGUCCCUUCUUAGAAGCAAUCUUCAAGAAUUAGCACUGAUUCCUGCUCUCGUUUCGUUUGUAAUGAUAUACGACACGGAACCAAAUUAACUUCGUCGAACAACCAUAAGAUAACCAAGGUCGUUCGGGGAGGUUAGGUUUGGUCAAUUCUUGUCGAAUGUAGACAGUAGCGAGGAUCGAUGCCCGGAAUCGUGCCUUGGUUGUCAUUGUUUUUAAGUAUUUACUUUUUUAUCAUUCGCUAACUGUUGCCUCACCUUCGUCUUGCAAAAGUGAAAUAACGCCAAGGUCUUAUAUUCGGUGACACCAAAACUUAUAAGUACGGUCUUAAUGAUUCCUCUGACAUUCUGAUGUUCGUAACUGUGGAGUUUCUUAGGCAGUCAAAAGAUUGUGCAGCCUUUAACGCCACAAAUAUCGGGUUACAAUGUUUGUAACAUUUGCCUUUAAAGCCAGGAAGUACUCGAACGUUAGUAUGUACAGUACAAAUAUGAAUAUAUUUGGCAAUGACUCAACAAGGCCAGAGGAUAGUAGGCAUUAAUAAUCAAUCCACAGUAUGGAGGUAAAACUCAUUCACAUUACUUGGAUAUAUUGGCUUACAAGCUUAGCCGCGCCCACCAACACCCUACCUCAGAAGACGAAAGAUUUUCUGUUUAACAAGUUGCUGAUCAAUAAGUAAGACGAAUGUUAUUAUUGAUUAUUCAUUCUUAAAGUUGUAUAAAGAACCACACGGGAAAUAUAACAAAAGUAUUAAAAUAUGGAAACUUUGUAGACGAAUGUGUAGGUUGUUGACACGUUGGUACAGGCAAAUUGCGAUGAAAGUGCUGAGGUGGUAGUUAAUGAACAUAAAAGAGAUGCCGCAACCACAUUACAGGUGAGGUCAAAUAAUGAUAAUAGCGAGGAUGCUUAUGUAAAAUAUGAAGACCGUACGGACAAGUACAGCAGUAGCAAGGUAUAGAUAUAUUUAUACCUUGCACAGUAGGAUGCAGAAUAUGGCCUAAGAAGCAAAGCGUAGACUAUAUACAGUAGGUCGCAGGCAGUACCUGUAAGGACAGAAGAACACAUGGGUAACAUUAACGUGAUAAGCUAUUACGAGUAAGAAAAAACAGUUAUUGUUUGUACUAUUAAGGACAUAAUUUUGAAGGAAACAAGUACUGUAUUAUAAAGAGCAUGGGCGAGGAAACCAGUGUGGCGUGCUAAGAGUGUACUGGGCAUAAACACCUUUUCAAAUUAUCGGAACUGCGGCGUGCUGAGAUUACUCCUCGGGAUUAUCAGGAAUCGUCAAUAGGGGACUUUUCCUGAAAUAAUUACUUAGUGUGGCGGCGUCACACUAUCACUUUUUGAUUCAACGCUCACAUAAUCUGUUGUAUUUUUCACGGUGGUCUUGCUUCUUUGGGUUUGCUGGUCGUCAGCGGCAUGGGCUGUUACGACGGUGCCAACCUUGUGCCAAGUUUCAUGGUCAAAUUAAGAUCCAUACUCGAUAAUGAGACCGUUAUAUAAAAUAAUCGAACCACGGUAAAUAACUUAAUUUGAAGAAUCUUUAAUUUUACAUUGUUAAUAAAUUGCUUGUGUAAUUUUUUUGUUGGUAUUGAUAUUCCUAAAUACAUUUGUUUUGUUCGUUUUCAUCAGGCGCUCUUGGCCGAGGUUUACAGUUGCGCUGAUAGGUUGGUUCUGUGUGUGACAAGGCGAGCUUAAGAAAAAGAAAAUCCUUAAGAAAAUUAUUGCAAGCAUAUGACGCAAAAAGUGUAGGUGUGACGCCGACUUUAUUGUUGGCAUUUUGUUUAAAAUGCGAACGCAUUGAUAAGUGAAUAUCAAUAGGUGUGGAUUGUUAGGUCUUCAUAUUUAACAAACUAUGGCAAACUCUAUACGCUUUUGAAGACUAGCAUGUAUUCUCCAACUAUGGAGAAAAAGGAAUAUAUGACUAUCCAUAACGAAGCCAAGAAGAUGAGACAGUAACCACAGUAGCAGGGCGAUAAUCUCAUGCUACGCAUAAAAAGGUGUAACCACACUUAAUCGCAUCGCUGCCUCUCGAGUGUUCCUCGUCUUCUUCCCUUAUUUAAUGUUGUAUGGAAAGUAGAGUAUAUAACUUCACUGUUGUAUUACAGUUCAUAACUUACGAAAAGAUACCUGUAAAAAGAAAAAACUUCAUUAUACAUUUCUUGCUGUAGUAAUUUCUUGGUAUAUACCAAUCAGUCGUGUUCUUCCGUAUCCACGAAAAUAAAUAAUAAGAACUACACGUACAAUAACUGUAAGUGGUAAGUUUGUAUGACAUUUUAGGAAUGUCAAUCUCAACUCACUGCAAUGGGUAUACAUGAUGAAAAGUUGCAUGCCAAAGUGCCUACGAUUGAACAAAAAAUAAUGUAAUGCACAAAACUACUCGUUUUAUCAUUAUCGCACAUAAUGUAGAACAACUACCGUAUACCUGUUCAUUUGCAAACUUUACAUUGUCCCUUAAAUGUGAUUACAGUAUGGCAGUGUUAAAUAGAGAAUGCUCAAUUCGUUAAGGAACGUGUGUACAUAUUACUUUGUAGACUGUGCAUUAUACUGCAUAUUCAAAAUGUGCUAAGCGAGUGUGAUUCUAGUCAUUACUAUGUUGCCUGCACGGGAAAAUGACAUGAUGUGUGUUGCAAAAUAAGCUGGCGCAACUUGAGUCCAACUGUCUCAUGCCUGCACGAUCUGAAGCGAAUAACAAUCAGUUAACAGACUCAACACAUGCAUCCACCAUCACAGGUUUACUCAUUUCACACCGGGAUGCCUAUCUAUUAAAAAAAAAAUAGAAAUAGCAGGGUACUCUAAACGUGGCAAGAAUUUGUAAUUUUAGUACUAAGGAAUAUAGUUGAGUACAGUAUCACAUAUACAGUACUGUAGUACAGGUAAAUUUUUCUCGGUAAAGAUGGGUCAGACGGCUUACA
rnacentral:lncRNA from 1 species